AUUGAACGCUGGCGGCAUGCUUUACACAUGCAAGUCGAACGCGAAAGCGGGGGCAACCCUGUGAGUAGAGUGGCGAACGGGUGAGUAAUGCAUCGGAACGUACCCAUGCUGUGGGGGACAACCAGUCGAAAGAUUGGCUAAUACCGCAUACGCUGGAGACAGGAAAGGGGGCGCCCCGUAAGGGGGCUCUCGCGGUUGGAGCGGCCGAUGCCGGAUUAGCUAGUUGGUGGGGUAAAGGCCCACCAAGGCGACGAUCCGUAGCUGGUCUGAGAGGAUGAUCAGCCACACUGGGACUGAGACACGGCCCAGACUCCUACGGGAGGCAGCAGUGGGGAAUUUUGGACAAUGGGGGCAACCCUGAUCCAGCCAUGCCGCGUGAGGGAAGAAGGCCUUCGGGUUGUAAACCUCUUUCGGGCGGGACGAAAUCGCAUCCUCUAACACGGGGUGUGGAUGACGGUACCGCAGGAAGAAGCACCGGCUAACUACGUGCCAGCAGCCGCGGUAAUACGUAGGGUGCGAGCGUUAAUCGGAAUUACUGGGCGUAAAGCGUGCGCAGGCGGCGCGCUAAGCCAGACGUGAAAUCCCCGGGCUUAACCUGGGAAUGGCGUUUGGGACUGGCGUGCUGGAGUGUGGCAGAGGGGG
rnacentral:rRNA from 1 species